UACGUAGGGCGCAAGCGUUUGUCCGGAAUUAUUGGGCGUAAAGAGCUCGUAGGCGGUUUGUCGCGUCUGCUGUGAAAACCUAAGGCUCAACCUUGGGCUUGCAGUGGGUACGGGCAGACUAGAGUGCGGUAGGGGUGACUGGAAUUCCUGGUGUAGCGGUGGAAUGCGCAGAUAUCAGGAGGAACACCGAUGGCGAAGGCAGUUCUCUGGGCCGUAACUGACGCUGAGGAGCGAAAGCCGUGGGGAGCGAACAGG
rnacentral:rRNA from 1 species